rnacentral:rRNA from 1 species
CAGUAGCCGCGGGAAUACGUAGGGUGCAAGCGUUAAUCGGAAUUACUGGGCGUAAAGCGUGCGCAGGCGGUUUGUUAAGACAGAUGUGAAAUCCCCGGGCUCAACCUGGGAACUGCACUUGUGACUGUAGAGCUCGAGUACGGUAGAGGGGGAUGGAAUUCCGCGUGUAGCAGUGAAAUGCGUAGAUAUGCGGAGGAACACCGAUGGCGAAGGCAAUCCCCUGGACCUGUACUGACGCUCAUGCACGAAAGCGUGGGGAGCAAACAGGAUUAGAUACCCGAGUAGUCCCUGUCUCUUAUAA